UUCCAGACUCCUACGGGAGGCAGCAGUGGGGGAUAUUGCACAAUGGGGGGAACCCUGAUGCAGCGACGCCGCGUGGGUGAAGGAGUAUUUCGGUAUGUAAAACCCUAUCGGCAGGGAAGAAGCAAGACGGUACCUGACUAAGAAGCCCCGGCUAACUACGUGCCAGCAGCCGCGGUAAUACGUAGGGGGCAAGCGUUAUCCGGAUUUACUGGGUGUAAAGGGAGCGUAGACGGUUGGAUAAGUCUGGAGUGAAAGCCCACGGCCCAACCGUGGGACUGCUCUGGAAACUGUGCGGCUUGAGUGCGGGAGGGGCAGGCGGAAUUCCUAGUGUAGCGGUGAAA
rnacentral:rRNA from 1 species